CCUACGGGUGGCAGCAGUGGGGAAUAUUGCACAAUGGGCGCAAGCCUGAUGCAGCCAUGCCGCGUGUGUGAAGAAGGCCUUCGGGUUGUAAAGCACUUUCAGUGGGGAGGUAGGCGAUAAGGUUAAUAACCUUGUCGAUUGACGUUAUACGUAGAAGAAGCAUCGGUUAACUCCGUGCAAGCCGCCGCGGGAAUACGGAGGGUGCAAGCGUUAAUCGGAUUUACUGGGAGUAAAGGGCACGCAGGCGGUCUGGCAAGUCUGAUGUGAAAUGCCGGGGCUCAACCUGGGAACUGCAUUCGAAACUGGACGGCUGGAGUGCAGUAGAGGGAGGUAGAAUUCCUGGUGUAGCGGUGAAAUGCGUAGAUAUCAGGAGGAACACCGGUGGCGAAGGCGGCCUCCUGGACAAAGACUGACGCUGAGGUGCGAAAGCGUGGGGAGCAAACAGGAUUAGAUACCCGGGUAGUC
rnacentral:rRNA from 1 species